rnacentral:rRNA from 1 species
ACAGUCAGGAGGUUGGCUUAGAAGCAGCCACCCUUUAAAGAAAGCGUAAUAGCUCACUGAUCGAGUCGGCCUGCGCCGAAGAUUUAACGGGGCUAAGCAAUAAACCGAAGCUGCGGGAUGCACUAUGUGCAUCGGUAGGAGAGCGUUGUGUAAGUCUGAGAAGGUGUUCUGAGAGGGAUGCUGGAGAUAUCACAAGUGCGAAUGCUGACAUAAGUAACGAUAAACAAGGUGAAAACCCUUGUCGCCGAAAGCCCAAGGUUUCCUACGCAACGUCAAUCGGCGUAGGGUUAGUCGGCCCCUAAGGCGAGGCUGAAAAGCGUAGUCGAUGGGAAACAGGUUAAUAUUCCUGUACUUGUGUAUGUUGCGAUGGAGGGACGAAGAAGGUUAGCUUAUCCGGGUGUUGGAUGUCCUGGUUUAAGGUAGUAGGCAGAGAUCUUAGGCAAAUCCGGGGUCUUAAUGUCGAGAACUGAUGACGAGCCGUUAGGCGAAGUAAGUGAUACCAAGCUUCCAAGAAAAGCUUCUAAGCAUAAACAUACAUGAACCGUACCCCAAACCGACACAGGUGGGCAGGAUGAGUAUUCCAAGGCGCUUGAGAGAACUCGGGUUAAGGAACUAGGCAAAUUGACACCGUAACUUCGGGAGAAGGUGUGCCCUUGUAGAGUGAAGUCCCUUGCGGAUGGAGCUUGAAGGGGCUGCAAAAAAUUGGCCGCUGCGACUGUUUAUUAAAAACACAGCACUCUGCAAACUCGAAAGAGGACGUAUAGGGUGUGAUGCCUGCCCGGUGCUGGAAGAUUAAAUGAUGGGGUGAAAGCUCUUGAUUGAAGUCCCAGUAAACGGCGGCCGUAACUAUAACGGUCCUAAGGUAGCGAAAUUCCUUGUCGGGUAAGUUCCGACCUGCACGAAUGGCAUAACGAUGGCGGCACUGUCUCAACCCGAGACUCAGUGAAAUUGAAUUCGCAGUGAAGAUGCUGUGUACCCGCGGCUAGACGGAAAGACCCCGUGAACCUUUACUAUAGCUUUACAUUGAACUUUGAACCUACUUGUGUAGGAUAGGUGGGAGACUGUGAAUCAGGAACGCUAGUUCUUGUGGAGUCGUCCUUGAAAUACCACCCUGGUAUGUUUAAGGUUCUAACCAAGUUGAAGACCUCAACUGGGACAAUGUAUGGUGGGUAGUUUGACUGGGGCGGUCUCCUCCAAAAGCGUAACGGAGGAGCGCGAAGGUACCCUCAGCACGGUCGGACAUCGUGCAAUGAGUGCAAAAGCAAAAGGGUGCUUGACUGCGAGACUAACACGUCGAGCAGGUACGAAAGUAGGCUUUAGUGAUCCGGUGGUUCUGUAUGGAAGGGCCAUCGCUCAACGGAUAAAAGGUACUCCGGGGAUAACAGGCUGAUACCGCCCAAGAGUUCAUAUCGACGGCGGUGUUUGGCACCUCGAUGU